AUGGCCAAGCUCUGCGCCGUCCUCCUCGCCGCCUGCGCCGCCCUCCUGGCGCUCGGUGCCGUGCCGUCACUCGCCGGCGACCCCAACAUGCUCCAGGACGUCUGCGUCGCCGACUACAUAUCCCUUCACGGCCCGCUGAGGGUGAACGGAUACCCGUGCAAGCGUGCGGAGAACGUGACGGCGGACGACUUCUUCUACGGUGGGCUGGCGAGCGCGGCCGACGUGUACGGCGGCGGCAAUCCGAUGGGCUCCGUGCUGACCGCGGCAGACGUGGAGAGGCUCCCGGGGCUGAACACACUGGGCAUCUCCAUGUCCCGCAUCGACUACGCGCCCUGGGGCGGCACGAACCCACCUCACUCGCACCCCGUCGGCGAGGCGCCUGCCGUGGCGAUCUCGGCGUUCGACAGCCAGCUCCCCGGCACGCAGAGGCUCGGCGAGGCCAUGUUCGGGGCGGGGCCGGGGGUGCCCACGGACGUGCUGGCCCGGGCGCUGCAGACCGACGGCGGCGUGGUGGAGAGCAUCAGGGCCAAGUUCCAGCCAAAGUAG
rnacentral:rRNA from 1 species